GACGAACGCUGGCGGCGUGCUUAACACAUGCAAGUCGAGCGGUAAGGCCCUUUCGGGGGUACGACGAGCGGCGAACGGGUGAGUAACACGUGGGUGACCUGCCCUCAGCUCUGGGAUAAGCCCGGGAAACUGGGUCUAAUACCGGAUAUGACUCCAUGACGCAUGUUGUGGGGUGGAAAGCCUUGUGCGGCUGAGGAUGGGCCCGCGGCCUAUCAGCUUGUUGGUGGGGUGAUGGCCUACCAAGGCGACGACGGGUAGCCGGCCUGAGAGGGCGACCGGCCACACUGGGACUGAGAUACGGCCCAGACUCCUACGGGAGGCAGCAGUGGGGAAUCUUGCGCAAUGGGCGAAAGCCUGACGCAGCGACGCCGCGUGAGGGAUGACGGCCUCGUGUAA
rnacentral:rRNA from 1 species